ensembl:miRNA
GCCCUGGGGUUAGGGGGAGCGGUUGGAGGACUGGGGGCUCAGCCUUCCUACCUCUCUCCGUAGGAGCCUGGUG